rnacentral:rRNA from 1 species
UACGAAGGGGGCUAGCGUUGCUCGGAAUUACUGGGCGUAAAGCGUGCGCAGGCGGCCUUCCAAGUCAGGGGUGAAAGCCCAGAGCUCAACUCUGGAAUUGCCUUUGAGACUGUGAGGCUUGAGUACGGGAGAGGUGAGUGGAAUUCCCAGUGUAGAGGUGAAAUUCGUAGAUAUUGGGAAGAACACCGGUGGCGAAGGCGGCUCACUGGCUCGUAACUGACGCUCAUGCACGACAGCGUGGGGAUCAAACAGG